GGCAACUAAUACCGUAUACGCCCUACGGGGGAAAAAUUUAUUGCUAUUAGAUGAGCCUAUAUUAGAUUAGUUAGUUGGUGAGGUAAAGGCUUACCAAGACAAUGAUCUAUAGCUGAUCUGAGAGGAUGAUCAGCCACACUGGAACUGAGAUACGGUCCAGACUCCUACGGGAGGCAGCAGUGGGGAAUAUUGGACAAUGGGCGAAAGCCUGAUCCAGCCAUGCCGCAUGAGUGAAGAAGGCCUUCGGGUUGUAAAGCUCUUUUAGUGAGGAAGAUAAUGACGGUACUCACAGAAGAAGUCCUGGCUAACUCCGUGCCAGCAGCCGCGGUAAUACGGAGAGGGCUAGCGUUAUUCGGAAUCAUUGGGCGUAAAGGGCGCGUANGCGGGUUAGUAAGUUAAAAGUGAAAUCCCAAGGCUCAACCUUGGAACUGCUUUUAAAACUGCUAGUCUAGAGAUUGAAAGANNAUAGAGGAAUUNCUAGUGUAGAGAUGAAAUUCGUAAAUAUUA
rnacentral:rRNA from 2 species